AUUGAACACUGGCGGCAGGCCUAACACAUGCAAGUCGAGCGAGCGGCGGAAGGGUGAGUAAUGUCUGGGAAACUGCCUGAUGGAGGGGGAUAACUACUGGAGACGGUAGCUAAUACCGCAUACCAUCAGAUGUGCCCCGAGGGGAUUAGCGAGUAGGUGGGGUAACGGCUCACCUAGGCGACGAUCCCUAGCUGGCCUGAAAGGAUCACCGGCCGCACUGGAACAGAGACACGGUCCAGACUCCUACGGGAGGCAGCAGUGGGGAAUAUUGGACAAUGGGCGCAAGCCUGAUGCAGCCAUGCCGCGUGUGUGAAGAAGGCCUUCGGGUGGUAAAGCACUUUCAGCGGGGAGGCGUUACCCGCAGAAGAAGCACGGGCUAACUCCGUGCCAGCCGCCGCGGUAAUAC
rnacentral:rRNA from 1 species